rnacentral:rRNA from 1 species
GACGAACGCUGGCGGCGUGCCUAAUACAUGCAAGUUGAGCGAUGAAGAUUGGUGCUUGCACCAAUUUGAAGAGCAGCGAACGGGUGAGUAACGCGUGGGGAAUCUGCCUUUGAGCGGGGGACAACAUUUGGAAACGAAUGCUAAUACCGCAUAACAACUUUAAACAUAAGUUUUAAGUUUGAAAGAUGCAAUUGCAUCACUCAAAGAUGAUCCCGCGUUGUAUUAGCUAGUUGGUGAGUAAAGGCUCACCAAGGCGAUGAUACAUAGCCGACCUGAGAGGGUGAUCGGCCACAUUGGGACUGAGACACGGCCCAAACUCCUACGGGAGGCAGCAGUAGGGAAUCUUCGGCAAUGGACGAAAGUCUGACCGAGCAACGCCGCGUGAGUGAAGAAGGUUUUCGGAUCGUAAAACUCUGUUGGUAGAGAAGAACGUUGGUGAGAGUGGAAAGCUCAUCAAGUGACGGUAACUACCCAGAAAGGGACGGCUAACUACGUG